rfam:Pelodiscus sinensis unplaced genomic scaffold scaffold418, whole genome shotgun sequence.
CCUUUGAUAGCUCAGUUGGCAGAGCAGAGAACUGUAGUGUGUGUUUGGCAAAUUAUCCUUAGGUUGCUGGUUCAACUCUGGCUCAAAGGA